rnacentral:rRNA from 1 species
UGAGGAACAUGACCUUCGGCGGGGGAUAGCCGGCCCAACGGCCGGGUAAUACCGCGUACGACCUUUUGGGGACAUCCCUGAUUGGUGAAAGCAGCAAUGCGCCGAAAGAGUGCCUCGCGGCCUAUCAGCUAGUUGGUGGGGUAAUGGCUCACCAAGGCAACGACGGGUGGCUGGUCUGAGAGGAUGGCCAGCCACAUUGGGACUGAGACACGGCCCAGACUCCGUACGGGAGGNAGCG